rnacentral:lncRNA from 1 species
UUUUUUUUUCUUUCUUUUUUUUGUGUCUUUUUGCCAUUUCUUGGGCCGAUCCCUCGGCCGGUUCCCAGGCUAGGGGUCUAAUCGGAGCUGCAGCCGCCGGUCUAUGCCAGAGCCACAGCAACACGGGAUCCGAGCCGCUUCUGCGACCUACACCACAGCUCACGGCAACGCCGGAUCAUUAACCCACUGAGCAAGGCCAGGGAUCGAACCCUCAACCUCAUGGUUCCUAGUCGGAUUCGUUAACCACUGAGCCACGACAGGAACUCCUAUUAUUGUAUUCCACAACUACUAUAGUAGUGUGGAAAAGGACAGUUCACUGAGUUUAAAACAAGAAUUUGAAAACUUUGAGCUAUUUUUAAGUCAGGAAAUGAGGGAACAUCCUUUAUACUAAGAACACCUGUUUCAAAAAUGUAUAUGGGAAAAAAAAAAAAGAAAGAAAUUUUCCCAGAACCCCUGACAUGCUGUUGAGAGAUUUUGAAUGGGUUCAGCCACCAUGAAGCACUGUAUGGAGAUUCUUCAAAAAAAUUAAAGUAAACCUGCCGCAUGAUCCGGCAAUCCCACUUUUGGGUAUGUAUCCAAAGGAAAUGAAAACAGGUUACCCAAAGAAACAUAUCUUCACUCUCCUGCUGUUGCAGCAUGACUCACAAGAGCCAAGAUAGGGAAACAGCCAAGGCGUCCCUCUGUGGAUGAAUGGACAAAGAUGACUCACACACGAUGGAAUAUUGCUCAUUAUUUUUCCAUAAGAAAGGAAAAAAUCCUGCCAUUUGCAAUAGCAUCUAUGGACCUAGAGAACAAUAGACCAAGUGAGAUAAGUCAGAGAAGGACGAAUACUCUCUCAUAUUUUUUAUGUGAAAUCUAAAAAAAAAAAAACCUUAAAAUUGUAAAAAGAGAGAGUAAUAUGGGAGUUACCAGGGGCUGAGGGUGGGGAGGGUGGAGAACGGAAGAGAUGCUGCUUAGGGUACAUACUUGCAACUAGUAGAUAAAUAAAUCCAGGAGAACUUCUACAGAUGGUCCCCAAUUUACAAUGAUUUGACUUGCAAUUUUUCGACGUCAUGAUAGUGCAAAAGUGAUAUGCAUUCUGUAUAAACCGUACUUAUUUUGAAUUUUGAAUUUUGAUCUUUUCUCAGGUCAGCAAUCCACACACAAUACUCCUGAGAUGUCAGGCAGAGACAAUGGGCACAGCUCCCAUCAAGGGUAAACAACCAACAGACCUCUUCCAUUCUGGACCCACACAACCACUCUGUUGUCCACUUUCAGUACAGCAUUCAGUAAAUGGCAUGAGAUCUUCAACACUUUAUUAUAACAUAGGCUUUGUGUUAGAUGAUUUUGCCCAUGACGUGUAGGCUUAUAUACAUAUUCUGAGCAUGCUUAAGGUGGGCUAUACUAUCUUUAAAAAAAAAAAAAAAAGAAUACAAAUGAACUUAUUUGCAGAACAGAAACAGACUCACAGACUGAAAAACAUGGUUACCAAAGGGGACAGGUUGUGGGAGGGAGGGAUGGACUGGGGGUUUGGGACUGGUAUAUGCACACUCAGGUAUAUGGAACCCUUGGCCAACAGGGACCUGCUGUGUAGCCCCUGCUGUAUUGUGUCAUAAUCUUUGUGGGAAAAGAAUCUGAAAGAGAAUGGAUGUGUGUAUAACUGAAUCACUUUGUUGUAUAGCAGAAAUUACAACCUUGUAAAUCCACUACAAUUCAAUAAAACUUUUUUAAAAAAAGGAGUUUCUGUUGUGGCUCAGUGGAAUCGAAUCUGACUAGCAUCCAUGAGGAUGCAGGUUUGCUCCCUGGCCUCGCUCAGUGGGUUAAGGAUCCAGCGUUGCUGUGAGCUGUGAUGUAGGUCGCAGACUCGACAUGGAGCCUGUGUUGCUGCGGCUGUGGUAUAGGCUGGCAGCAACAGCUCCAGUUCAACCCCUAGCCUGGAAACCUCCACAUGCUGCAGGUGUGGCUCUGAAAAGGCAAAAGAAAAAAAAAAAGAAAAAAAAAAAAACCUNAAAAAAAAAAAAAAAAAGGUAGGCUAGGCUAUGCUAUUCUCUUCAGCAGGCUAGGUAUAGUAAGUAAAUGCAUUUCUGACAUAUGAUAUGUUCGGUUUUCUGUGGGAUUAUCAGUGUGUAACCCCAUCAUAAGUCAGUAAGCACACAGUAGAGUGAUUUAAAAAAACUGUACUAUGUCAUUAAACUUGCUAAGAGACUAGGUAUGAAUUGUUCCUAACAACAGAAGAAAUGAUAAUUAUGUGAUGCAACAGAGGUGCUAGCUAAUGUUACAAUGGCGAUCACAUUGCAAAUGAUGUGUCAAAUCAACAUGCUGUACACCUAAAACUUACACUUAUGUCAAAUAUAUCUCAAUUUUUUUUUUUCUUUUUUGGCUGCCUGGUGGCUUAAGGCAUUUCUCAGGCCAGGGACCACAUCAGAUCUGCAGUUUCAAUUAACAAAGCAGCUGUAGCAAUGCUGAUCCUUAACCCACCGUGCCAGGUGGAGGCUCUAACCGACGUCCCAGCCCUCAGAGAUGCCGCCGAUCCCCUUGCGCCACAGCAGAAAUGCCAAACAUACCUUGCUUUUAAAGAAGAAAAGAAAAUACCCAAGGAGUUCCCAUCGUGGUGCAGUGAAAAUGAGCCCAGCUGGUAGACAUGAGGAUUUGGGUUCUAUCCCUGGCCUCCCCCAGUGGGUCUGGGAUCUGGACUUGCCAUGAGCUGUGGUGUAGGUCAUAAAUCAAGCUUGGAUCCUGCCUUUCUGUGGCUGUGGGGUAGACUGGCAGCUACAGCUCCAAUUCAACCCCUAGCCUGGGAACUUCCAUGUGCUGCAGAGUGACCCUAAAAAGCAAAAUGAGGGGAAAAAAAGAAAGAAAGAAAGAAAAGGAAAGGAAAGGAAAACCCCCCAAAGCUGACACGAGUAAGACUGGCCCACACCAGGGUGAUAAGCACAGCUCCAUAAGCAGCUCUUAUAAGUGCUCCCAGAACACUGAGGACAAACAGAAGAUGCUACAAGCUUCCAGUAAGAGGAAAACAAAGCUAUUUAUAAAGAGUCUGGAGUCAGGGUGAUUUCUGACUUUUCCCCAGCAACUCUGGAAGCCAGUAGACAGUGGAGUAAUGUCUUCAAAAUACUUAGGGACAGUGAUUUCUGGCCUAGAAAUCUUUGCUGUUAGUAAAAGUACUUGGGAGUUCCCGUCGUGGCCCAGUGGUUAACAAAUCCGACUAGGAACCAUGAGGUUGCGGGUUCGAUCCCUGGCUUCGCUCAGUGGGUUUAGGAUCCAGUGUUGCCAUGAGCUGUGGUGUAGGUCGCAGAGGCAGCUUGGAUCCCGCAUUGCUGUGGCUGUGGUGUAGGCAGGCAGCUGCAGCUCCGAUUAGAGCCC